AGAACUUAACCAGGAUUCCCUUAGUAACGGCGAGUGAACAGGGAUUAGCCCAGCACUGAAGCCUGCGGUCAUUUGAUUGCUAGGCAAUGUGGUGUUUAGAUUGGUUUUUGUCAAUUCUGCUUCAUUCAAAGUCCAUCAAUGAGUACGGCUAAUGGACCGGCCCAAAGAGGGUGAAAGGCCCGUGUGGAUGAAGAUCAAGUGUGACAGAAUUGGCUUGAACUGAUUUUGGAGUCGGGUUGUUUGUGAAUGCAGCCCAAAGUGGGUGGUAGACUCCAUCCAAGGCUAAAUACUGGCACGAAUCCGAUAGCAAACAAGUACCGUGAGGGAAAGUUGAAAAGUACUUUGAAGAGAGAGUAAACAGUGCGUGAAACCGCUCAGAGGUAAACGGGUGGAGUUGAACUGGAAUCCUUGGGGAUUUAACUGAUGAGUAUGACAUGCGCUUGGGCAUGUUAGUCAGCAUCGAGGGUUUGCUUAAUUGCAAGCCUUGACUUUUCGGAGUUUGGGUGCACGUUGCACUUGUCAAGUGUUGUGUGCCUUGGAUGCUUUAGGCUUGCUUGUCAGUGCAUUUUCUCAAGGUGAUCACCACGACCGACGUGGUUGUCUGUUUGCUGCAGUUAAACCGGUCAGAUUUGGUCAUGUGGCUGAGUCUGAUCGGGAUGGCAGGUAGCUUGUUUGCUUUUUCAAGUUUGCAAGUGUUAUUAGCUGACUGUGGUAAAUUUGUGCAAUAUGUCGGAGAUGACGGCUUUGCUCACGCUGUCUAGCAAGUCACGUUGAGCUUGAUUGGCACGUACUUGAUUUGACAAGUCUGUCGGUAGCUUAAUGGGGUUUGUUGGCAGUAGUGUGUAACGUGUUUUGAGCCUAUAGUCUGUGGUGUAGUGGUAGACGAUCCACCCGACCCGUCUUGAAACACGGACCAAGGAGUUUAACAUGUGCGCGAGUCAUUGGGCGUUACGAAACCCAAAGGCGUAGUGAAGGUAAAGGUUUGACUUGUUCGAACUGAGGUGAGAUCUUGUUGUAAUCAUUUGAUAUUGUCAAGCAUGAUGCAACAAGCGCAUCACCGGCCCGUCUCAUGGUGUAGUCAUGGGGUUUUACCUCGUGCGUCAUCGGGGCGGAGCUAGAGCGUACACGUUGAGACCCGAAAGAUGGUGAACUAUGCUUGCGCAGGUUGAAGCCAGAGGAAACUCUGGUGGAGGGCCGCAGCGAUUCUGACGUGCAAAUCGAUCGUCAAACGUGAGUAUAGGGGCGAAAGACUAAUCGAACCAUCUAGUAGCUGGUCCUC
rnacentral:rRNA from 1 species